rnacentral:rRNA from 1 species
UACGAAGGGGGCUAGCGUUGUUCGGAAUUACUGGGCGUAAAGCGCACGUAGGCGGAUUGUUAAGUCAGAGGUGAAAUCCCGGAGCUCAACUUCGGAACUGCCUUUGAUACUGGCAAUCUCGAGUCCGGAAGAGGUUAGUGGAAUUCCCAGUGUAGAGGUGAAAUUCGUAGAUAUUGGGAAGAACACCAGUGGCGAAGGCGGCUAACUGGUCCGGUACUGACGCUGAGGUGCGAAAAGCAUGGGUAGCGAACGGGG